rnacentral:rRNA from 1 species
AGCGUACACGGUGGAUGCCUUGGCAGUCAGAGGCGAUGAAGGACGUAGUAACUUGCGAUAAGCUCAGAUUAGGCAGUAACAGCCACUUGAGUCUGAGAUUUCCGAAUGGGGAAACCCAACUGCAUAAGCAGUUACUGUUAACUGAAUACAUAGGUUAACAGGGCGAACCGGGGGAACUGAAACAUCUAAGUACCCCGAGGAGAAGAAAUCAACCGAGAUUCCGAUAGUAGCGGCGAGCGAAAUUGGAUUAGCCCUUAAGCUUUACAUGCGUCAGGUGAAGGUUCUGGAAAGGACCGCGAAACAGGGUGAUAGCCCCGUAGCCGACAGCGCAUGUUCAGUGAAAUCGAGUAGGGCGGGACACGUGUUAUCCUGUCUGAAUAUGGGGGGACCAUCCUCCAAGGCUAAAUACUCCUGACUGACCGAUAGUGAACCAGUACCGUGAGGGAAAGGCGAAAAGAACCCCUGUGAGGGGAGUGAAAUAGAACCUGAAACCGUGUACGUACAAGCAGUAGGAGCCUCCUUUGUGGGGUGACUGCGUACCUUUUGUAUAAUGGGUCAGCGACUUAUAUUCAGUGGCAAGGUUAACCAUUUAGGGGAGCCGUAGGGAAACCGAGUCUUAACUGGGCGUUCAGUCUCUGGAUAUAGACCCGAAACCGGGUGAUCUAGCCAUGGGCAGGUUGAAGGUUGAGUAACAUCAACUGGAGGACCGAACCGACUAAUGUUGAAAAAUUAGCGGAUGACUUGUGGCUAGGGGUGAAAGGCCAAUCAAACUCGGAGAUAGCUGGUUCUCCCCGAAAGCUAUUUAGGUAGCGCCUCGGACGAAUACUACUGGGGGUAGAGCACUGUUAAGGCUAGGGGGUCAUCCCGACUUACCAACCCUUUGCAAACUCCGAAUACCAGUAAGUACUAUCCGGGAGACACACGGCGGGUGCUAACGUCCGUCGUGGAGAGGGAAACAACCCAGACCGCCAGCUAAGGUCCCAAAUUACAGCUAAGUGGGAAACGAUGUGGGAAGGCUCAGACAGCUAGGAUGUUGGCUUAGAAGCAGCCAUCAUUUAAAGAAAGCGUAAUAGCUCACUAGUCGAGUCGGCCUGCGCGGAAGAUGUAACGGGGCUAAGCUGUAAACCGAAGCUGCGGCAAUGCGAUUUAUCGUAUUGGGUAGGGGAGCGUUCUGUAAGCCGUUGAAGGUGUGUUGUAAAGCAUGCUGGAGGUAUCAGAAGUGCGAAUGCUGACAUGAGUAACGACAAGGGGGGUGAAAAACCUCCCCGCCGGAAGACCAAGGGUUCCUGUCCAACGUUAAUCGGGGCAGGGUAAGUCGACCCCUAAGGCGAGGCCGAAAGGCGUAGUCGAUGGGAAACGGGUUAAUAUUCCCGUACUUCUUACAAUUGCGAUGGGGGGACGGAGAAGGCUAGGUGGGCCUGGCGACGGUUGUCCAGGUUCAAGUGCGUAGGCUUGAGGGUUAGGUAAAUCCGGCUCUCUUUAAGGCUGAGACACGACGUCGAGCUACUACGGUAGUGAAGUCAUUGAUGCCAUGCUUCCAGGAAAAGCCUCUAAGCUUCAGAUUGUAAGGAAUCGUACCCCAAACCGACACAGGUGGUCGGGUAGAGAAUACCAAGGCGCUUGAGAGAACUCGGGUGAAGGAACUAGGCAAAAUGGUACCGUAACUUCGGGAGAAGGUACGCUCUUGAUGGUGAAGUCCCUCGCGGAUGGAGCUGAUGAGAGUCGCAGAUACCAGGUGGCUGCAACUGUUUAUUAAAAACACAGCACUGUGCAAAAUCGUAAGAUGACGUAUACGGUGUGACGCCUGCCCGGUGCCGGAAGGUUAAUUGAUGGGGUUAGCGUAAGCGAAGCUCUUGAUCGAAGCCCCGGUAAACGGCGGCCGUAACUAUAACGGUCCUAAGGUAGCGAAAUUCCUUGUCGGGUAAGUUCCGACCUGCACGAAUGGCGUAAUGAUGGCCACGCUGUCUCCACCCGAGACUCAGUGAAAUUGAAAUCGCUGUGAAGAUGCAGUGUACCCGCGGCUAGACGGAAAGACCCCGUGAACCUUUACUACAGCUUGGCACUGAACAUUGAACCUACAUGUGUAGGAUAGGUGGGAGGCUUUGA